UACGUAGGUGACAAGCGUUGUCCGGAUUUACUGGGCGUAAAGAGCGCGCAGGCGGUCGUUCAAGUCGAGUGUGAAAGCCCCCGGCUCAACUGGGGAGGGUCAUUCGAUACUGAUCGACUCGAAGGCAGGAGAGGGUAGUGGAAUUCCCGGUGUAGUGGUGAAAUGCGUAGAUAUCGGGAGGAACACCGGUGGCGAAGGCGGGUCUCUGGGCCGUAACUGACGCUGAGGAGCGAAAGCGUGGGGAGCGAACAGG
rnacentral:rRNA from 1 species